CUUUACUGUAGCCUGGUAUUGGGUUCGGGCUUUGACUGCGCAGGAUAGGUGGGAGACUAUGAAGCUGCCCUGUGGGGGCAGUGGAGUCAUCAGUGAGAUACCACUCUGUCAAGGCUAGAAUUCUAACCGUCUGCCGUUAUCCGGCGACGGAACAGUAUAAGGUGGGCAGUUUGACUGGGGCGGUCGCCUCCUAAAUGGUAACGGAGGCGCGCAGAGGUUCCCUCAGGCUGGUUGGAAAUCAGCCGAAGAGUGUAAAGGCAGAAGGGAGCUUGACUGCAAGAGCAACAACUCAAGCAGGGACGAAAGUCGGCCUUAGUGAUCCGACGGCGCCGAGUGGAAGGGCCGUCGCUCAACGGAUAAAAGUUA
rnacentral:rRNA from 1 species